rnacentral:misc_RNA from 2 species
CUGCCCUCAAGCACGGCUUGUGUGUUGGGCCUCCGUCCUCCUCCCGGGGGACGGGCCCGAAAGGCAGCGGCGGCACCGCGUCCGGUCCUCGAGCGUAUGGGGCUUCGUCACCCGCUCUUGUAGGCCCGGCCGGCGCUUGCCGACACAUCAAUCUUUUUUCCA